UACGUAGGGGGCAAGCGUUGUCCGGAUUUAUUGGGCGUAAAGAGCGUGUAGGCGGCCAGGUAGGUCAGCUGUGAAAACUCGAGGCUCAACCUCGAGACGUCGGUUGAAACCACCUGGCUAGAGUCCGGAAGAGGAGAGUGGAAUUCCUGGUGUAGCGGUGAAAUGCGCAGAUAUCAGGAAGAACACCCGUGGCGAAGGCGGCUCUCUGGGACGGUACUGACACUGAGGAGCGAAAGCCAGGGGAGCAAACGGG
rnacentral:rRNA from 1 species